AUGGCCGCCGAGCCACCGCCUUACGCCGCCCGUUCGUCUCCCCACUGCAGGUCCUCCCGUCGCCCAACCUCCUCCGCGCCAGCUCUCCUCUGCCUUCUCGCUACCAGGUCGUGGGAGCACUGGCCUUGCUUCCUUGGACGCCCUGCCGAUGCUCCUUCGGCCACGCUCGACCCCGCCGAAGCUCUGUCACCUGAUGCCCCACCAGGACCCCGCGAGUUCCAGCAAGUUCGGCGCCGUCCCAAGCCCAACGGCCAUCCUUCUCCUUCCUCUGCGCCGCCUCCAACAUCUGUGGUGCCCUGCGUCUCGACCCCGAGCAGCACUGCCUCGUUGCCAUGCUCCUGUGAUACCCUCGCCGCCAUUUCCCUGCUUCAUGCCAAGGCCGACGCCGGCCAUUUCUUCCAGCCGCCGCUCAUCCUUGGUGCCAUGGUCUCUGCCUCCUUUGGACGACCUGUUGAUGCCGUGCACAACUUUUGCCAUGCCCUGUUGUGUGUGCUCUCCGCUGCCUGGCACCGUUGA
rnacentral:rRNA from 1 species